UACAGAGGUCUCAAGCGUUGUUCGGAUUCAUUGGGCGUAAAGGGUGCGUAGGUGGUGGGGUAAGUCGGAUGUGAAAUCCCGGGGCUCAACCCCGGAACUGCAUUCGAUACUGCCUUGCUCGAGUACUGGAGAGGAGACUGGAAUUUACGGUGUAGCAGUGAAAUGCGUAGAUAUCGUAAGGAAGACCAGUGACGAAGGCGAGUCUCUGGACAGUUACUGACACUGAGGCACGAAGGCCAGGGGAGCAAACGGG
rnacentral:rRNA from 1 species